GCCUAACACAUGCAAGUCGAACGGAACUUCUUCGACAGAAUUCUUCGGAAGGAAGUUGAUUAAGUUUAGUGGCGGACGGGUGAGUAACGCGUGAGUAACCUGCCUUUGAGAGGGGAAUAACUUCCCGAAAGGGAUGCUAAUACCGCGUGACGCAUAUUUAUCGCAUGGUAGAUAUGCCAAAGAUUUAUCGCUCAAAGAUGGACUCGCGUCCGAUUAGCCAGUUGGCGGGGUAACGGCCCACCAAAGCGACGAUCGGUAGCCGGACUGAGAGGUUGAACGGCCACAUUGGGACUGAGACACGGCCCAGACUCCUACGGGAGGCAGCAGUGGGGGAUAUUGCGCAAUGGGGGAAACCCUGACGCAGCAACGCCGCGUGAAGGAUGAAGGUUUUCGGAUUGUAAACUUCUUUUAUUUAGGACGAACAAUGACGGUACUAAAUGAAUAAGCUCCGGCUAACUACGUGCCAGCAGCCGCCGUAA
rnacentral:rRNA from 1 species